AUCAGUCAGUUAUAUCCCUAUCAUAUGAUUUUAUAAUUUAGUAUUUAGUCAAUUACUACUAGCUUCUCUUACUGUGACGGAGACAUUUAAAGAGAAACCGGCUAGUGCAUAGCUUCACAAUAUAGAUAGUGAGGAAUUAAUGGGUAUGUUUAGUGAUGCAAAAGUAUGGUUUCCUAAUACAACAAUUUGCUAUAUCUCUUGCAAACUAAGAUCAAAAAAGAAUAAGACUGUUGACUAUCUAGACACUCCAGAUUUAAGUUAAAGAGAAAAGAUUGUUAAAUGGUCAAUUAAUGUAGCACGUAAAAACAGAUUUAUAUAUUGACUGAAUCGAUGCAAAGUAAGAAAUGAGAUUUGCUAUAGACAAAAAAUCAAGUGGCAAAGUUAAUAAAAGAAAAAAUGACUUCAUUUACACCAUUUCUUACUGGAAAGAUGAUGAAACUGAUAUAGAAGCUGCUGACUAUUGCAUGAAAAAGAUUUAGCGUGCUGCUGAUGUUGUUUCUGGUGAGUUACAAUUUAAUGAAUUUAAAAACACAAGUGUUGUGACUUGCCUAAAUUAUAUAGCAAGUGUUGUGAUUUGCAUAAAUAAUACAACUUGUGUUGUGACUUGCCUAAAAUAUAUUGCAUGUGUUGUGACUUGCAUAAAUAAUACAACAAGUGUUGUGACUUGCCAAAAAUCUAUUUCAAGUGUUGUGACUUGCAUAAAUAAUACAGCUAGUGUUGUGACUUGCCUAAAUUAUAUAGCAAGUGUUGUAAGUUGUUAAAUUUUUUGAUAGACGACUCUGGCUUAUCUUCAUGUGGUGUCUAUUGUUGAAAAUAAUUAAAAUAUAGUUUCUUUAAAAUAAUUAAAAAAUUUUUUUUUAAUGUUAACAUUUUAUUUAUUAUUUAUUUUGAAACAGAAAUUUGUUUGUUAACCAAACAGAAUGGCUAGCUCGUUACCCAUACUGUAUGGUCCUUACUUCUGUUAAUGUAAUAAUCACAUAAAAGAAUUUAAUAUAGGUAGUUGCUAUACUUGGUUAUAAAGAUGACAUGUUUUUUACAGCCAAUUGACUUUUAAUUAUAUUUAAAGUAAUAUAUAUCUAAUUGGUUUGGUUAGAGGCAUUCUAAUGCCCCUUCCCUUAUGAUAUAUUUGGAUAGGCCCUCCCUUAUACUCCACUCUCUUAUGACUAUGUAUGCACCACUAAUGUAUAUUUUAAUCUAGUGGAAUAUAUUUUUUACUUUUUUGUUGUUGUACUUUAAAUAUUCAAUCAGAUUUUUCAAGAGUUAAAAAUGUUUUUGAUAUUAUAGUACUAAAAGAUCAUCAACAUAUCUAUUAUGAGUUUUACAUUCAUCUCUCUUAUUUGGUGGUUGCCUGGUUGGGGGAGGAAGGGGGGGUCAUACGCCCCUUCCAUAAUAGAAACACCACUUGUAUACGUAAGAUCUUGUAUAACAUAAUUUUAUAUUGUAUACUAAUUUUACUCAUUUUAGUAAAGAUAAAUAUUUAUAAAA